AAUUUGUCUAAUGUAUAAUGUAAAAGUGAAAUCUGAUUUCCAAAAUCAAUUCAAGACUUGGACCCCAAGCUUGACAUCCAACAAUCUUUUGGGUAAAAAUAAAAUUAAUCUUCACAUAUAACAAACCACCGGAUAAACAAAAAAAUUGAUGGUUAAUACAAAAUACUGAUUUGGAGUUUGGCUUCCAGAAUCAAAUUCAAUACUUACCCUCCAAGUUUCGGCCCCUAUAAAUAUGACUUCUUCACUCCCACAUUUCACAUUAGUUGUUGGGCUGCAGAGACGUCAUUGGCUUCUACAGAGUCGCUGGCAGAUGGGCCGAGGCCGGAGUAAGCAAGACGACGACAAAUAGAGUCGCUGGCAGAUGAGCCGAGGCCGGAGGAAGCAAGACGACGACAAACAAAUGAUGGGCUUCGCAGUGACACACUGAGGCGGGGCGCAGGCUGCUGCAGAGAUCUUGAGGUGAAGUGAGGCGUAUGUUCUGCCUCUAUAUCAUUGCGAUCUUCUUCUUUAUCACCAAAGUUUUGUGGGAUGGCAUGGUUGAACUCCCAACGGCUGUUGCGAGCUCAGUAUCCUCCUUCAUUGUAGAUUUCCUGAUUUUUUUGUCUCUAGACUUGAAUCUGUAAGGGUGAUGAAUAAGACUUAUGCAGAAUUAAUAUAAUGAAAUUAAUAGUUAUAAUGAAAUACUCCAUAGAUCUAGAGCUUACCUGAGUCAGUGGAGGCGGUGGUGCGACGGAGACGACGGCGGAGAGACGAAUUCCAGAGGGGAAGAAGGGAGGUAGAAACCCUAGGAAUUAGAUUUUAUGAUUUGGGGAUUUAGAUAUAGGGAAGAAAUGGAAGGGAAGGAAGGGGGAAGAGAAGGGGCCGGCCUCGCCGCGCCGGAGGCGGCGAGAACCAGCGACGACCGCCGGAGAAGGAGGGAGAGAGAGAGAGGCGAUAGGGAGGAGCGAUAGAGAGAGAGAACAGAGAGAGAAAGAAAGAGUAUGCGUGUGAGAGGAAGGGGAAGAAUUAUUAAUCUGAUUCUUAUUUUGGUGUUAUAAAAUCUGAAUUAUUAAUUUAUUAAAUCUGAAUUAUUAAUUGGGCUUGAACUAUAUUUGGACCAGCUAAUUCUGAUGGACCUGAUAGUUUAUUUAAUGGGCUUAAUUUGAAUUAAAUUAAUGUUGGGCUUUGAGUUAAUUAACCUAAUAAUUAGAUUGAUUUUCACAUAUUAUAUAUAUGUAUAUAUUAUAGGCAGUAUGGUUUAUGAU
rnacentral:lncRNA from 1 species